CUAUGGAUUGAGUUGUAGAAGGCCUUUUCUUUGGACUUGCAAACUGUUUGUCAAUAGCAUCGGACCCCAAAGGUGACACACCGAACGAGAACUCAACCACCCACCCUGUUAUCGACCUGAUCACCGGGAUUGUUCUCAGGGCAAAGAGGGAAACAAGGAUGCAGACGGGACCAGAAGGGAUGAACUAUUAUCAACUACCAUCGUCGAGCCCAUCGGCAGUCGGCUGGAGAUGCACACGAAGGCAUUUAGGAGCAGCGAAGCCCGUCAAUGAGGAAGCCUGUUUUCACAUGUGAAGAUGAAUCCUCGUAGAAAAAGAUGGAAUGUUUGUGCUUGCUAUAAGAGGCAGUGUGCUGAUGAGCAACGUAAAAAGUGGUUACCGUUAGCAUAUAAGAUACAGAUUAUUGGCCGUUAUGCACAGGCAGAACUUGGUCGUGGUUCAAAUGUUCAAGACCUUGAGACUACAGCUACGUGUGGCAGGAAUUCAGAUGAAUUUAUCAUCCACAGUCCCCACAUUGACUUCAAACAAAGCGAUGGUGGCCUAGGUAAAGCAUAAAGGCAUGCAAUUGUAUAUGCUCGCUGAUGAUGAAGAACGUGGAAUACGUGGUGACUGGGUUUGCUCUACUUUGUCUCUCAUUCAAUACGUUUACUUUAAACACCUAGAAAGCAAUAACUUUUAUAUUUUUGAAAAUUUCAUAGGAUUUAUUGUUCAAUUGUGAAGUUUAGAAGAUCAUUCACCCCUUCCUAGUGCCUGUUUGAUGCCUAGCGUGUCAUUUGGUCCAUACUCCAAGUCUUAGAUAAUUGGAGAAUGAAGGGAAUUAUCUUGUCCAAAAGUUCUAGCUGAAAUCGUUUCAUGUUUGUACUACUUUCUCCUUCGUCUGGUAUUAUA